rnacentral:rRNA from 1 species
GAGCGGACAGAUGGGAGCUUGCUCCCUGAUGUUAGCGGCGGACGGGUGAGUAACACGUGGGUAACCUGCCUGUAAGACUGGGAUAACUCCGGGAAACCGGGGCUAAUACCGGAUGGUUGUUUGAACCGCAUGGUUCAAACAUAAAAGGUGGCUUCGGCUACCACUUACAGAUGGACCCGCGGCGCAUUAGCUAGUUGGUGAGGUAACGGCUCACCAAGGCAACGAUGCGUAGCCGACCUGAGAGGGUGAUCGGCCACACUGGGACUGAGACACGGCCCAGACUCCUACGGGAGGCAGCAGUAGGGAAUCUUCCGCAAUGGACGAAAGUCUGACGGAGCAACGCCGCGUGAGUGAUGAAGGUUUUCGGAUCGUAAAGCUCUGUUGUUAGGGAAGAACAAGUACCGUUCGAAUAGGGCGGUACCUUGACGGUACCUAACCAGAAAGCCACGGCUAACUACGUGCCAGCAGCCGCGGUAAUACGUAGGUGGCAAGCGUUGUCCGGAAUUAUUGGGCGUAAAGGGCUCGCAGGCGGUUUCUUAAGUCUGAUGUGAAAGCCCCCGGCUCAACCGGGGAGGGUCAUUGGAAACUGGGGAACUUGAGUGCAGAAGAGGAGAGUGGAAUUCCACGU